rnacentral:rRNA from 1 species
AGCGAACGCUGGCGGCAUGCCUAACACAUGCAAGUCGCACGGGGGGGCUUCGGCCUCCCAGUGGCGGACGGGUGAGGAACGCGUAGGGACCUGUCGAGGGGUGGGGGAUAACCGCGGGAAACUGCGGCUAAUACCGCAUGACGCCGCGGCGUGACAGCCGGGGCCAAAGGCGAAAGCCGCCCGCCGAGGGGCCUGCGUCCGAUUAGCUGGUUGGCGGGGUAGCGGCCCACCAAGGCGUCGAUCGGUAGCUGGUCUGAGAGGGUGAUCAGCCACACCGGGACUGAGACCCGGCCGGGACCCCUGGGGGGGGGAGCAGGGGGGAAUUUUGAACAAGGGGCGAAAGCUUGAUCCAGCAGUGCCGGGGGGGUGAAGAGGGUCUGCGGAUUGAAAAGCCCUUGGGGCGGGGAGGGUGGGGAGGGUCCCCGAAGAAGAACCCCCGGCAAAUUUCGUG